rnacentral:rRNA from 1 species
UACGAAGGGGGCUAGCGUUGCUCGGAAUCACUGGGCGUAAAGCGCACGUAGGCGGAUUGCUAAGGUCAGGGGUGAAAUCCUGGAGCUCAACUCCAGAACUGCCUUUGAUACUGGGCGACCUUGAGUCCGGGAGAGGUGAGUGGAACUGGCGAAGUGUAGAGGUGAAAUUCGAUAGAUAUUCGCAAGAACACCAGUGGCGAAGGCGGCUCAC